UACGAAGGGGGCUAGCGUUGUUCGGAAUCACUGGGCGUAAAGCGCACGUAGGCGGAUUGUUAAGUCGGGGGUGAAAUCCUGAGGCUCAACCUCAGAACUGCCUUCGAUACUGGCAAUCUCGAGUCCGGAAGAGGUUGGUGGAACAGCUAGUGUAGAGGUGAAAUUCGUAGAUAUUAGCUAGAACACCAGUGGCGAAGGCGGCCAACUGGUCCGGUACGUGACGCUGAG
rnacentral:rRNA from 1 species